AUAAAAAACUUGUACGUCUAUUCUUUUUUUUAAUAAGAGUAUAGAUAUAAUAAAAUAUAUUAAUAAGUUUUCGAAAAUGGAAAUGGCAUUAAUACUAAAUAUUCAAGUGUACUUAUGUAUGUUAUUCGCUUUUUUACAUACUGAAGGGACAAAUAAUAAAAAUAUAAACGCGGUUAUCAUAAAUAAUUUUCUACGUCAACCAGGAUGGAAUAAUAUAAAUGAUGUCGAAUUAGUUAAGUAUUGGGGCAAAAACUAUGAACUGAAAAAUUUAUUUAUUAAACCUGUAACAUUAUAUAAUUGCGAUAAUUGCAUACGGCAAGCAACGAUAUUCCUUGGAUGUUCUUACGUUCAUGAUUUAAAUUUAAUGAUCUUAUCAUUAAAUAAAUUUCAUGAACAUUGUACUUAUCUUUUAAUUUCUGGUGAUGAUAGUGCGCACAAUUGUAUAGUCACACUUUUAACAAAAAUAAUUGAAAUUGUUCCGAUGGCAAAAUAUAUGAAAGGAGCUUUAUAUGCAAUAGAAAAAUAUCAUACUAUCCCCUUGAACAUCCAAAAAAGAACUCGUUUUAUUUUAAGCAAUCUACUUACAAAUAUACAGGAAGAUGAAACUUUAUUCUCUACGUUGAGAACCAGUUCGGAUUCAAUUAAAGAUGCUUUAAAGACUAUCGCGAAUACAUUAUUCGAUUGGCGUUAUGAACUUGAUGAAGAUAAAUCAUUUUGUCAUCUAAAAAACUUAGAUUUUAAUUUAUUAUGGAAUUUAUGGAAUGCAGAAUUUAUUACAUUAAAAUAUCAAGGAAAAUACCAAGAACUUUUCAAUUUUCUUAGUGAUAAAAUUAGAAAUUUAAUUCUAAACACAUUUAUGAAAAAGUAUAUUGAACUUGGAUUUAAAUUUGAUAAGUACACAAGUCAAACAUUUUUACCUACUCUACCACUUACUAAUGUCAAACAAGAUAUCGCGCAAACUUCUUCUAAAAAUUACAUACAAAAUACCAAUGAAGUACAUGCGCAAGAAGAAAUUCAGCAACAUGAGAAACAGGAAGACAUAAGACAAGAAAGAAGCAAUAUAUUCAUCCAUAAUAAUUUGUCCAUAAUUUAUAGAAAAUAUAUUUACAAAAUUUACCCAGCAACAUGUACAAAAGCCAAAAUAAUUUAAAAUCACAUUCUUUACAUAAUCAUUAUGAAACGCUUUAAUUGUAUGAACUAGUUGUAGUUAAUAAAAUAAGUAUAAAUAAGAUCUAUAAUAUGUAAGAAGAUGUCAAUUGUGAAUUGAAAGAUGAUUCAGUCGAACUAAUAGAAUAUCAUAAGGGUAUGGAACCAUUUAAUAAGUACCUUUAAAUUAAUUUUCAUGUGCUAAAUUUUUCUCAUAUUUGCAUUACUAUAUAUAAUAACUGUGUUAAUUUGAUUUAUAUGUAUGAUUUAAAUAUUUAAUAAAAAUCACAAUUAAUUAU